rnacentral:rRNA from 1 species
AGAGUUUGAUCCUGGCUCAGGACGAACGCUGGCGGCGUGCUUAACACAUGCAAGUCGAACGGAAAGGCCCUUCGGGGUACUCGAGUGGCGAACGGGUGAGUAACACGUGGGUGAUCUGCCCUGCACUUUGGGAUAAGCCUGGGAAACUGGGUCUAAUACCGAAUAUGACCAUGCACUUCCUGGUGUGUGGCGGAAAGCUUUUGCGGUGUGGGAUGGGCCCGCGGCCUAUCAGCUUGUUGGUGGGGUAAUGGCCUACCAAGGCGACGACGGGUAGCCGGCCUGAGAGGGUGACCGGCCACACUGGGACUGAGAUACGGCCCAGACUCCUACGGGAGGCAGCAGUGGGGAAUAUUGCACAAUGGGCGCAAGCCUGAUGCAGCGACGCCGCGUGAGGGAUGACGGCCUUCAGGUUGUAAACCUCUUUCAGCACAGACGAAGCGCAAGUGACGGUAUGUGCAGAAGAAGGACCGGCCAACUACGUGCCAGCAGCCGCGGUAAUACGUAGGGUCCGAGCGUUGUCCGGAAUUACUGGGCGUAAAGAGCUCGUAGGUGGUUUGUCGCGUUGUUCGUGAAAACUCACAGCUUAACUGUGGGCGUGCGGGCGAUACGGGCAGACUUGAGUACUGCAGGGGAGACUGGAAUUCCUGGUGUAGCGGUGGAAUGCGCAGAUAUCAGGAGGAACACCGGUGGCGAAGGCGGGUCUCUGGGCAGUAACUGACGCUGAGGAGCGAAAGCGUGGGGAGCGAACAGGAUUAGAUACCCUGGUAGUCC